rnacentral:rRNA from 1 species
CCCUUAGAUGUUCUGGGCCGCACGCGCGCUACACUGAUGCAUUCAACAAGCCUAGCCUUGACCGAGAGGUCCGGGUAAUCUUUGAAACUGCUUCGUGAUGGGGCUAGAUUAUUGCAAUUAUUAAUCUUCAACGAGGAAUGCCUAGUAAGCGUGAUUCAUCAAAUCGCGUUGAUUACGUCCCUGCCCUUUGUACACACCGCCCGUCGCUCCUACCGAUUGAAUGUGUUGGUGAGGAGCUCGGAUUGGCAGCAGUUGGUGGUUCGCCACCGGCUAUUGCUGAGAAGUCCUCCAAACCGCCCCAUUUAGAGGAAGGAGAAGUCGUAACA